AUACGUAGGGGGCAAGCGUUAUCCGGAUUUACUGGGUGUAAAGGGAGCGUAGACGGCGAAGCAAGUCUGAAGUGAAAGGACGGGGCCCAACCCCGGAACUGCUUUGGAAACUGUUUGGCUGGAGUGCGGGAGGGGUAAGCGGAAUUCCUAGUGUAGCGGUGAAAUGCGUAGAUAUUAGGAGGAACACCGGUGGCGAAGGCGGCUUACUGGACCGUAACUGACGUUGAGGCUCGAAGGCGUGGGGAGCAAACAGGAUUAGAUACCCUGGUAGUCCACGCGGUAAACGAUGAUCACUAGGUGUCCGUGGGUAUGACCCAUGGGUGCCGCAGCCAACGCAAUAAGUGAUCCACCUGGGGAGUACGUUCGCAAGAAUGAAACUCAAAGGAAUUGGCGGGG
rnacentral:rRNA from 1 species